rnacentral:rRNA from 1 species
GUGGAUUAGAUACCCUGGUAGUCCACGCCGUAAACGAUGGAUACUAGCUGUUCGGAGCAAUCUGAGUGGCUAAGCGAAAGUGAUAAGUAUCCCACCUGGGGAGUACGUUCGCAAGAAUGAAACUCAAAGGAAUUGACGGGGGCCCGCACAAGCGGUGGAGCAUGUGGUUUAAUUCGAUGAUACGCGAGGAACCUUACCAAGGCUUAAAUGUAGAUUGACCGUUUUGGAAACAGAACUUUCGCAAGACAAUUUACAAGGUGCUGCACGGCUGUCGUCAGCU